rnacentral:lncRNA from 1 species
AUUACUGUUGCACACAUGCUAUCAGUCUUGGGGAAAAAAAUAUGCAUUUAACAUGCACAUAAAAUUUAAUUUCACGUUUUCUCUCUCACAGCAACAGUCGCUGCUGAACCUGCAGAUGUAACUGCUUCAACAGUCUCUCCUACUGAUGGACCUGCAGAUGUAACCACUGGUAAGGAAAAUUGCAUUACUGUGGUGUAUAUGCUAUCAGUCUUUAGGGGAAAAAAAAUUAAAAUUCACAUGAAAUUUAAUUUUACCUUAUCUUUUCACAGUCUCUCCUAGUCCUGCACCAGCAGACAUUACCACUACAACAGCCACUGCUGAACCUGCAGAUGCAACAGCUUGUAAGUAAAAUUGCAUUAUCGGGGUAUAUGUGCUAUCAGUCUUGAG